UACAGAGGGGGCAAGCGUUGUUCGGAAUUACUGGGCGUAAAGGGCGCGUAGGCGGCCUGCUAAGUCGAACGUGAAAUCCCUGGGCUCAACCCAGGAACUGCGUCCGAUACUGGUUGGCUUGAAUCCGGGAGAGGGAUGUGGAAUUCCAGGUGUAGCGGUGAAAUGCGUAGAUAUCUGGAGGAACACCGGUGGCGAAGGCGACAUCCUGGACCGGUAUUGACGCUGAGGAGCGAAAGCUAGGGGAGCAAACGGG
rnacentral:rRNA from 1 species